rnacentral:rRNA from 1 species
UCUGCAACUCGACUCCAUGAAGUCGGAAUCGCUAGUAAUCGUGGAUCAGAAUGCCACGGUGAAUACGUUCCCGGGCCUUGUACACACCGCCCGUCACACCAUGGGAGUGGGUUGCAAAAGAAGUAGGUAGCUUAACCUUCGGGAGGGCGCUUACCACUUUGUGAUUCAUGACUGGGGUGAAGUCGUAACAAGGUAACCGUAGGGGAACCUGC